CACGUAGGAGGCGAGCGUUAUCCGGAUUUACUGGGUGUAAAGCGCGUGCAGGCGGUUCAGAAAGUUGGAUGUGAAAGCUCCUGGCUUAACUGGGAGAGGUCGUUCAAUACUUCUGGACUCGAGUAUGGGAGAGGGAGGUGGAAUUCCGGGUGUAGUGGUGAAAUGCGUAGAUAUCCGGAGGAACACCAGUGGCGAAAGCGGCCUCCUGGUCCAUUACUGACGCUCAGACGCGAAAGCUAGGGUAGCAAACGGGAUUAGAGACCCCGGUAGUCCUAGCUGUAAACGAUGUGAACUUGGCGUUGGUGGGUUCAAAUCCAUCAGUGCCGGAGCUAACGCGUUAAGUUCACCACCUGGGGACUACGGCCGCAAGGUUAAA
rnacentral:rRNA from 1 species